rnacentral:rRNA from 1 species
GAUGAACGCUGGCGGCAGGCCUAACACAUGCAAGUCGAACGAAGUCUUCGGACUUAGUGGCGGACGGGUGAGUAACACGUGGGAACGUACCUUUUGGUUCGGAACAACUCAGGGAAACUUGAGCUAAUACCGGAUGAGCCCUUAGGGGGAAAGAUUUAUCGCCGAAAGAGCGGCCCGCGUUAGAUUAGCUAGUUGGUGAGGUAAAGGCUCACCAAGGCUACGAUCUAUAGCUGGUCUGAGAGGAUAAUCAGCCACAAUGGGACUGAGACACGGCCCAGACUCCUACGGGAGGCAGCAGUGGGGACUCUUGCGCAAUGGGCGAAAGCCUGACGCAGCCAUGCCGCGUGAAUGAUGAAGGUCUUAGGAUUGUAAAAUUCUUUUACCAGGGACGAUAAUGACGGUACCUGGAGAAAAAGCCCCGGCUAACUUCGUGCCAGCAGCCGCGGUAA